CUGGCUCAGGAUGAACGCUAGCGACAGGCUUAACACAUGCAAGUCGAGGGGCAGCGGGGAGUAGCAAUACUUCGCCGGCGACCGGCGCACGGGUGAGUAACACGUGUGCAACCAACCCCGUACCGGGAGAUAACCCGCGGAAACGUGGACUAACAUCCCAUGAUACUCGAGAGCCGCAUGGCUCUAGAUUUAAAAUUCCGGUGGUACGGGACGGGCACGCGCGACAUUAGGUAGUUGGCGGGGUAACGGCCCACCAAGCCGACGAUGUCUAGGGGUUCUGAGAGGAAGGUCCCCCACACUGGAACUGAGACACGGUCCAGACUCCUACGGGAGGCAGCAGUGAGGAAUAUUGGUCAAUGGGCGAGAGCCUGAACCAGCCAAGUCGCGUGAGGGACGAAUGGUCUAUGGCCUGUAAACCUCUUUUGUCAAGGAAGAAUAAAUCGCACGGGUGCGAUCUUGCCAGUACUUGACGAAUAAGCAUCGGCUAACUCCGUGCCAGCAGCCGCGGUAAUACGGGGGAUGCGAGCGUUAUCCGGAUUUAUUGGGUUUAAAGGGCGCGUAGGCGGGACGUCAAGUCAGCGGUAAAAGACUGCAGCUAAACUGUAGCACGCCGUUGAAACUGGCGCCCUCGAGACGAGACGAGGGAGGCGGAACAAGUGAAGUAGCGGUGAAAUGCAUAGAUAUCACUUGGAACCCCGAUAGCGAAGGCAGCUUCCCAGGCUCGAUCUGACGCUGAUGCGCGAGAGCGUGGGUAGCGAACAGGAUUAGAUACCCUGGUAGUCCACGCCGUAAACGAUGCUCACUGGUUCUGUGCGAUAUAUUGUACGGGAUUAAGCGAAAGUAUUAAGUGAGCCACCUGGGGAGUACGUCGGCAACGAUGAAACUCAAAGGAAUUGACGGGGGCCCGCACAAGCGGAGGAACAUGUG
rnacentral:rRNA from 1 species